AACUUAUCGAGAGUAGUGGAGGGACAAGGCCCUGUGAAGCUACAGCAGCCGGUUAGCAUUAAAAGCUGAUGUCUGGUGCUAAUUCCGACCCUAUGGAGGAGAGAUAAGUC
rnacentral:ncRNA from 2 species